rnacentral:rRNA from 1 species
UACGUAGGGUGCAAGCGUUGUCCGGAAUUAUUGGGCGUAAAGAGCUCGUAGGCGGUCUGUCGCGUCUGCUGUGAAAACCUGGGGCUUAACCCCGGGCCUGCAGUGGGUACGGGCAGACUAGAGUGCGGUAGGGGAGACUGGAAUUCCUGGUGUAGCGGUGAAAUGCGCAGAUAUCAGGAGGAACACCGGUGGCGAAGGCGGAUCUCUGGGCCAUUACUGACGCUGGAGGAGCGAAAGCGUGGGGAGCGAACAGG